rnacentral:piRNA from 1 species
UGCUCUUAUGCUGAUGUAGGAUGCCCUGUG